UUGAAAGGGAAACGAUUGAAGUCAGUCGUACCGAUGGACAAUCAGCCUUUUGAGUGCGAUUCUGUGGGGCAUGAGGAGGAAACCCUCGUGUUUUGCAUAUUUGUGCUCUUUGGGUGUAUUUGUUCGUAUGGUGGGUUAACAUCAAUUUUGGUCGUCAUAAAAUGACGGGAGGAAUGUAGCUUUGGUCUCGUAUUGAAGUGUUAUAGCCUCUGGUAGAUGUGGCGACCGGGAUUGAGGAUUGCAACAGAUACCCCUCGGGGCUACUCGCCUGAUCUCUGAUCGUUACUCUGGUGCCGAAAGCUUGCUUAUGUUAUCAAAGUUGAUGGUCAAAAGGUUAGAACGGGUUAAAUUCGUUAAGGAUGUUGACGUA
rnacentral:rRNA from 1 species